rnacentral:tRNA from 1 species
GGGGUUGUAGCUCAGUGGUAGAGCACUUGUCUUGCAAGCAGGAGGCCCUGGGUUCAAUCCUCAACAUCG